ACUGAACGCUGGCGGCAUGCCUUACACAUGCAAGUCGAACGGCAGCACGGGAGCAAUCCUGGUGGCGAGUGGCGAACGGGUGAGUAAAGUAUCGGAACGUGCCCAGUCGUGGGGGAUAACGUAGAGAAAUUUACGCUAAUACCGCAUACGAUCUAAGGAUGAAAGCGGGGGACCGUAAGGCCUCGCGCGAUUGGAGCGGCCGAUGUCAGAUUAGGUAGUUGGUGGGGUAAAGGCCUACCAAGCCGACGAUCUGUAGCUGGUCUGAGAGGACGACCAGCCACACUGGGACUGGGACACGGCCCAGAAUCCCACGGGAGGAAGCAGUGGGGAAUUUUGGACAAUGGGCGCAAGCCUGAUCCAGCAAUGCCGCGUGCAGGAAGAAGGCCUUCGGGUUGUAAACUGCUUUUGUACGGAACGAAACGGUCUGGGUUAAUACCUCGGGCUAAUGACGGUACCGUAAGAAUAAGCACCGGCUAACUACAUGCCAGCCGCCGCCGUAA
rnacentral:rRNA from 1 species